rnacentral:rRNA from 1 species
UGCUACAGGCUUAACACAUGCAAGUCGAGGGGCAGCAUGGUCUUAGCUUGCUAAGGCCGAUGGCGACCGGCGCACGGGUGAGUAACACGUAUCCAACCUGCCGUCUACUCUUGGACAGCCUUCUGAAAGGAAGAUUAAUACAAGAUGGCAUCAUGAGUCCGCAUGUUCACAUGAUUAAAGGUAUUCCGGUAGACGAUGGGGAUGCGUUCCAUUAGAUAGUAGACGGGGUAACGGCCCACCUAGUCUUCGAUGGAUAGGGGUUCUGAGAGGAAGGUCCCCCACAUUGGAACCGAGACACGGUCCAAACUCCUACGGGAGGCAGCAGUGAGGAAUAUUGGUCAAUGGGCGAGAGCCUGAACCAGCCAAGUAGCGUGAAGGAUGACUGCCCUAUGGGUUGUAAACUUCUUUUAUAAAGGAAUAAAGUCGGGUAUGGAUACCCGUUUGCAUGUACUUUAUGAAUAAGGAUCGGCUAACUCCGUGCCAGCAGCCGCGGUAAUACGGAGGAUCCGAGCGUUAUCCGGAUUUAUUGGGUUUAAAGGGAGCGUAGAUGGAUGUUUAAGUCAGUUGUGAAAGUUUGCGGCUCAACCGUAAAAUUGCAGUUGAUACUGGAUAUCUUGAGUGCAGUUGAGGCAGGCGGAAUUCGUGGUGUAGCGGUGAAAUGCUUAGAUAUCACGAAGAACUCCGAUUGCGAAGGCAGCCUGCUAAGCUGCAACUGACAUUGAGGCUCGAAAGUGUGGGUAUCAAACAGGAUUAGAUACCCUGGUAGUCCACACGGUAAACGAUGAAUACUCGCUGUUUGCGAUAUACGGCAAGCGGCCAAGCGAAAGCGUUAAGUAUUCCACCUGGGGAGUACGCCGGCAACGGUGAAACUCAAAGGAAUUGACGGGGGCCCGCACAAGCGGAGGAACAUGUGGUUUAAUUCGAUGAUACGCGAGGAACCUUACCCGGGCUUAAAUUGCAGAUGAAUUACGGUGAAAGCCGUAAGCCGCAAGGCAUCUGUGAAGGUGCUGCAUGGUUGUCGUCAGCUCGUGCCGUGAGGUGUCGGCUUAAGUGCCAUAACGAGCGCAACCCUUGUUGUCAGUUACUAACAGGUUCCGCUGAGGACUCUGACAAGACUGCCAUCGUAAGAUGUGAGGAAGGUGGGGAUGACGUCAAAUCAGCACGGCCCUUACGUCCGGGGCUACACGCGUGUUACAAUGGGGGGUACAGAGGGCCGCUACCACGCGAGUGGAUGCCAAUCCCCAAAACCUCUCUCAGUUCGGACUGGAGUCUGCAACCCGACUCCACGAAGCUGGAUUCGCUAGUAAUCGCGCAUCAGCCACGGCGCGGUGAAUACGUUCCCGGGCCUUGUACACACCGCCCGUCAAGCCAUGGGAGCCGGGGGUACCUGAAGUGCGUAACCGCGAGGAGCGCCCUAGGGUAAAACUGGUGACUGGGGCUAA